AUUGAACGCUGGCGGCAGGCCUAACACAUGCAAGUCGAGCGGAAACGAUCCUAGCUUGCUAGGAGGCGUCGAGCGGCGGACGGGUGAGUAACGCGUGAGAAUCUACCCAUGAGUGGGGGACAACCCGGGGGAAACUCGGGCGUAAUACCGCAUACGCCCUACCGGGGUAAAGCAGGGGACCGUUCGGGCCGUUGCGCUGAUGGAUGAGCUCGCGUCGGAUUAGCUUGUUGGUGAGGUAAAGGCUCACCAAGGCGACGAUCCGUAGCUGGUCUGAGAGGAUGAUCAGCCACACCGGGACUGAGACACGGCCCGGACACCUACGGGAGGCAGCAGGUGGGGAAUCUUGGACAAUGGGGGCAACCCCUGAUCCAGCCAUGCCGCGUGUGUGAAGAAGGCCUUCGGGUUGUAAAGCACUUUCAGCAGGGAGGAAGGCUUACCCCUAAUACGGGUGAGUACUUGACGUUACCUGCAGAAGAAGCACCGGCUAAUUUCGUG
rnacentral:rRNA from 1 species